GUUAUUCCAGGCUCAGCCUUUCCUGUGAUCAUGGGUGUUUACAGAGCCAUACUGUCUUUAGUUCUUGUGGUUGCUGCCAUCUCUACCACCGCCGAGGCUGGGGGAUAUGGUCACGGACACGGAGUGUACGGUCUCCAAUAUUCCAAACCCUUGGCAUACACCUAUUAUCAACCAGCCCGCGUACAGUAUGUCGCCACCGGGGUGAACACAGGAGUAGCUGGGAGCGGCGGACUAGGAUCUAUUAUUCCUAUUGCUAUUAUUUUGAUUAUCUUCGCCAUAUUUAUUCCAUUGGUGCUCAGCAGUAUCCUGUUUUCUAGUCAAUCUCUAUAUACAACCACUACUCCCGGAAACUGAAAUUUUCAGUCCACAAGUUUCAGAUGGAGAAUUAACUGGAUAAGAGGAAAGAGGGAACUGCCUGAUAUUCACAAUAUAUAUAGACUUACAAUAAAUUGUCUGUCCAAAUUCAAAA